GAGGGUAGAGCUCAGUGGUAGAGCAUGUGCUUAGCAAACACAAGGUCCUAAGUUCAAUCUCCAGUACCUCCA
rnacentral:tRNA from 1 species